UACAGAGGUCUCAAGCGUUGUUCGGAUUCAUUGGGCGUAAAGGGCUCGUAGGCGGUUUGUCGCGUCGGGAGUGAAAUCCACUGGCUUAACUGGUGGCUUGCUUUCGAUACGGGCAGACUGGAGGUAUGCAGGGGAGAACGGAAUUCCUGGUGUAGCGGUGAAAUGCGCAGAUAUCAGGAGGAACACCGGUGGCGAAGGCGGUUCUCUGGGCAUGUCCUGACGCUGAGGAGCGAAAGUGUGGGGAGUGAACAGG
rnacentral:rRNA from 1 species